UGUUUAUAUAUAUAUAUAUAUAUAUAUAUAUAUAUAUAAACAUAUAUAUAUAUUGGCCAUAAUAGCAUUGAUAUUGAUUUGGGUUGAUUGUAUUUGUUUAGAAUGAUGCUGGAGCUUUCUCAGUAAGUUUCAAAUAGUUAGGUACCUUAUAAACUUAGGAAGGUACUGUGUGUAUGUGUGUACACGCCUCUAUUGCUAUAGCAUAACCCAGGUUUCGAUCUAUGAUUCUCUGAACUCUGCUUCAUCUUAGAUGCAUAAAAUACGCAUAGGUACUCAAGCCUGUGCAUACAACUGAAAGUCAGUUACUGAGUCUCUAUCAUUUCCAACAAUGAAUAUCUCAGUUAUUUGAUCAUUUGAAUUAGCAUCUUAAGUGAUUGAGUAUUCCACAGACAUGUGUACCAGCAUUCCAGUAGUUUGGUCAACUGGAUUAUCUACGUAUCAAAUUCUAAGAGGUUUGAUUAUUUCCUUGACACCAGUAUCCUUAGUCUAAUCCCCUGUUUGAAAUACAGGUAGAGGACAUAAUAAACAUGACCGAAUAGUUAAGAAGUUUGUUUCACAAUCAUGAAGUCUCUGGUUCAAUACCAGUAUGUGACAUCUUGGAUGAGUGUCAGGCUUGGAUGGACUCAUGUCUUGCGAAUGAAAUCAAACAAGUGGAAACUGUGUGGAAGUCCGUUGGAUUUACUCUUUAUGCAAAUACACACAGUACAGGCCUGUAUACUGAAUGUUAAUAAUGGCUAGAAAAACCACCCUUUUAUUACCUUGUGCUAGUGAAAAGUCUACUGCUUUUAGACAUAAUUAACAGCAUUGUGGUCUUCUUGGAGUGGUUGGCGUUAGGAAGGGCAUCGAGCUGUAGAAACUCUGCCAGAUCAGAUUGGAGUCUGGUUCGCCAGACCUCAGUCAAAUCGUCCAAACCAUGCUAGCAUGGAAAGCGGACAUUAAAUGAUGAUGAUGAUUAGUGUAUUGAAUGUUUAUUAGCAGUUAUUGUGUAUAGGGGCAGUAACUUUUGUGGUGUGAAUUUAUAUCCAGAUACAAUCCUUCCCGCUUAAUAAACUGAAAAAUUUCAUCUACUGCUGCUCCAGCUGCCUGGGUCAGCAAUGAUGUCAGUUUGGUGAUUGAAAAUUCUAUGGUUUCUAACUUGUCACUUGUACUGUGUCUUUGAUAAAUAUAUUUAACUCCAAAUGGCCUAAGCUGGAGCUGAAUGCAACAAUUUGCCCGAGUUUGGUUAGCUUUUAAGUGUGAGGCUUAAAUUCUAUCAUGAGGAUAGCUCAAAGAAGAAUGGACUGUACAAAGCUGACUUAUUUUGGAUGCAACAUAAGUUGAAAACUUCCUUUGGUAACCCAGUGAUCAAAUCAUUUGGGACAUCUAUCCAUCAUAUUCAUUG